UGUGGUAUUAGGUAUGAUCUCUGCUCUCUCAUUUCUGAUUUUGAGUCCUCUCUCUUUUUUUUCCUUUGUCUAGCUAAAGGCUUGUCAAUUUUAUCUUUUAAAAAACCCAGCUUUUUCAUUAAUGUUUUCUAUUUUUUUUCCUGGCAUCUAUUUCAUUUAUUUCUGGUCUAGUCUUUGUUACUUCCUUCUUUCUGCUAGCUUUGGGUUUGGUUUGUUCUUUUUGUUGUUCCUUAAGUGUGAAGUUAGGUUGUUUAUUUGAAGUCUUUUUUUUUUUUUUAAUGUAGACAUUUGUCACUAUAAGCUUCCCCAUUUUAACACUGCUUUUGCUGUAAGUUUGGUAUGUUGUGUUUCUAUUUUGUUUCAAGAUAAUUUUUUAUUUCUUCUUCUUUUUAAAGAUUUUAUCUAUAUAUUUGACAGAGAGAGAGCACAAGCAGGGGGAGCGGCAGGUAGAGGGAGGGGGAGAAGCAGGCUUCCCACUGAGCAGGGAGCCCGAUGCAGGGCUCGAUCCCAGGACCCUGAGAUCACGACCUGAGCUGAAGGCAGAUGCUUAACCGACUUAGCCACCCAGGCACCCCGAUAAUUUUUUCUUUUUUGAUUCCUUCUUUGACCCAUUGGUUGUACAGGAGUGUGUUAAUUCCCACAUAUUUGUGAAUUUUCCAGGUUUCCUCUUGUUACUGACUUCUAGUUUCUUACCAGUGUGUUGGAAAAGAUACUUGGUAUGAUUUAAAUCUUAAAUUUGCUAAGACUUGUUUUGUGAUAUAUGAUCUGUCCUGCAGAGUGUUAUGUGUGCACUUCGGAAGAAUGUAUGUUCUGCUGCUCUUUAAUGCGGUGUUCUGCAUAUAUUUGUUGGGUGCAUUUGGUCUGUAGUUGAAGUCCAAUAUUUUCUUAUUGAUUUUCUGUCUGGAUGUUCUACCCAUGGUUGAAAGUGUGGUAUUGAAUUCCCCUACUAUAACUGGAUCGUUGUAUAUUUCUCCCUUCAGAUGUUAGUAUUUACUUAAUAUAGUUACUCUAAUGUUGGGUACAUAUAUGAUUGUUAUGUCCUCUUGAUGAAUUGACCUUUUUAUCAUUAUAUAAUGAACUCCUUUGUCUCUUGUUAUAGUUUGUGGUUUAAGGUCUAUUUUGUCUAAGUGUGGCUAUCCCUGCUGUCUCUUGGUUUCCACUUGUAUAGAAUAUCUUUUUCCAUCUCUUCAUUUUAAGCUGUGUGUAUCCUUAAAGCUGAAGUGAGUCUCUUGUAGGCAACAUAUAGUUGGAUCUUAUUUUUUAAUCCAUUUAUAUCAAGAGUAAUUAUUGAUAAGUAAGGGCUUACUGAUGUCAUCUGAUUAAUUGUUCUCUGGCUGUUUUUUAAAAAGUUCCCUUGUACCUUUCUCUCUCUUUUGCUGUCUUCUUUUGUGAAUUGAUGAUUUUCUGUAGUGUUAUGCUUUGAAUCCCUUGCCUUUAUCUUUUGCGUAUCUAUUAUAGGGUUUUGUUUUGUGGUUACCAUGAGGCUUACGUAAAAUAUCUUAUAGAUACAGCAGUCUGUUCUGUACUGAUAACAACUUUACUUCAACCAUAUGCAAAACUCUACCCUUUUACUUUCCCUCUUUGUACAUUUUUUAUGUCAAGUUUAUCUCUUUUUAUAUUGUGGAUUCUUUAACAAAUGAUAGUAGCUAUAAUUAUUUUUAAUACCUUUGUCCUUUAACCUUUAUACUAGAGUUAAAUGGUGAAUACACCACCAUGUUACAGUAUUAGAAUAUUCUGAAUUUGACUAUACAGUUGGCCCUUGAACAAUGUGGGUUAGAAUCGUGCAGGUCCACUUAUACAUGGAAAUUUUUUAGAGUUGACAACAAAAGCCACAAGUCAUUUAUUUACAACUGCCCCAUCCCCACCGUCGUCACAGACUGAAUAAAAGGUGACUGGUGCAGGUCAUACCUGCUGCUCUCUGGGUAUCUGCGGAGGCCCACAGAGGCUGUUGGCAACCACAGGGGGCCCAGGACCAGGCAGGGGUGCAGGGUACCCUGUGUGUGCUGGGAGCUGCAAAGGGAGCCCCGUAUCCCACUACCCCUGCCCCUUGAGUGCUCCAGACAUGCUUCAGGGCUGUGCCGGGGCAGCCGUGGACCUUGGGCCCCUCCAGGGCGAAGUGUGGACCCCUUCCUGCAGUGGCCUACACCCUCAGAGGUUGAUGCACUCACGUGUAGCUUCAACUGCUGAUGGCCACAGGCCCGUGGUGUACCUCCAAGCAGAUGGGCAGCUUUAUUGCAUCUCUAGGCCACUGUCAUUGCUGUGGGCCAUCCUGGUGGCUGCUGCCACUAAGCCAAAACCACCAGGCCAUGGAACAUCGCCAUCCCAGGGUGCCCUACCCAACUGGCCUGGCCCACCUACACGUGGAUUUUUUUCAAUAAAUAUACAUAUGGUACUGUACUUGCUCUUCCUUAUGAUUUUCUUUCUUUCUUUUUUUUUUUUUUUAAGAUUUUAUUUAUUUGACAGAGAGAGACACAGCAAGAGAGGGAACACAAGCAGGGGGAGUGCGAGAGGGAGAAGCAGGCUCCCCACAGAGCAGGGAGCCCGACGUGGGGCUCGAUCCCAGGACCCUGGGAUCAUGACCUGAGCCGAAGGCAGACGCUUAACGACUGAGCCACCCAGGCGCCCCUCUUUUUUCUUCUUUACAGGUGUGCUACACAUUUUGUAACUAUCCCACAGUUCUUGGGUAUUUUGUUCCAUAUUUUUCAUUCCUUUUUCUCUUUUGUUUAGGAGGUUACUAGUGACAUAUGUUCAAACUCAUGGAUUCUUUCCUUGGCCAUGUCCAGUUCAGUGAUGAACUCACCAGAGGUAAAAGCCAGAGGUCUAAUGCAAGAAUUAGGUCCAAGGGAGAAGCCCAAGCUGGAGUGGAAAUAUUUCUAAAAUAGUUCCCAAACUGAGGUACAUCAAAGCCCAAACAGAGGUAUGAGGACCAAGGAAAAUAAGACCAUCAAGCUUAGAGGAGCUCCAGACAACCUCCCCAGGGAGAUCACAGAGGGUGGAAUCAGGGCACGUCAGAUUCCUCAGAGCACAGGGCUGGUAUAAAGCAGCCUCAGUAAGUACUUGACCUGAACUGAUCCUUAGGAAGCCCAGACACAAUACUGGGCAGCAACAUGAACAAGUGGUCAGCCUACAGCUCUCACAUCAGUUUGUCUCAGUGCCCCUCUCUAUGGAGAGUCAGCGAGCAGGCUUCCCCAACUCAAGCAAGGACUCCAUUGAGGGGAUUCAGAGACAUCAGCACUAAGAACAUCCAUCUGUCUCGGAAGCAGACAACGAACCAUUGAAUGAAGACAAGUGCAGAGCCCAGCCAGGAAGCUGAGAGUCCAGGCCUGUCCACGCUGCCUGCAGGGCAGUCCUGAGGAACCAGCACCAGGCAGUACAUAUCACAGAUGCCCUCAGGAACAGAGAGACCAAGGGCACGGCAGAGGUGUUGAAACAGCAAGCAGGCUUUAAUGGAGGGUGUACAGCCAGGGUGACCCCAGCCUCUUCGGUUACAUUAGCUUCUUUUUUCUCCUCAGGACAUAGGCAGGAAGAAGGCCUGUUUUCUAACGAGAACCUAGAAAUCAGUCUCCAUCCCCAAGCUGUAUUACGUGGGCUGGUUCAGAUCUCUCUCACUCUGAUUGGCUUGCAAUCUGUUUUCAAGCAUUUUCCUUCCUUGAGAAUAGGAGUCUUCUCACAUUCAUCUAUGUCUUGAGUCACCCUGGAAUUAAGCUGCCUCUACGCUAGCUGUUUCCUCUGCCUAGAACACCCUUCCACAGAUAUCUGCAUGGCUAGCUCCCUCACCUCCUUUAUCCUUCCAGUCUUCACUCAGACAUUACCUACUUGACAAGGUUCUGUUACAGUCUGCCCCCUCCGCCAACCCCCUGGCAUUCCCAAUCUCCCACACUUAGCUCUGUACUUUUCCAUAACUCUCAUCAACUUCUCUGUCUUUGCUUCUUCUGCAGUUUGAAUAGGAUAUGCCUAGUUAUAUCAUAUCACUUAUGUACUGAUUACAUCUUAGUAUCACUACAGUGUAAGCUCGGUAAGAGCAGGGACUUUCGUCUGCUCACUGAUAUCCCAAGUGCACAGAGAUGGAACACAAAAGGCAUUCAAUAUGGGCGCUUGGGUGGCUCAGUUGGUUAAGCGACUGCCUUCGGCUCAGGUCAUGAUCCCGGAGUCCUGGG